UACGGAGGGUGCAAGCGUUAUCCGGAAUCACUGGGUUUAAAGGGUGCGUAGGCGGCCUAGUAAGUCAGGGGUGAAAGGUCACGGCUCAACCGUGGAAUUGCCUUUGAUACUGCUGGGCUUGAAUCAGGAUGAGGUCGGCGGAAUGUGGCAUGUAGCGGUGAAAUGCAUAGAUAUGCCAUAGAACACCAAUUGCGAAGGCAGCUGGCUAGACCUUGAUUGACGCUGAGGCACGAAAGCGUGGGGAGCGAACAGG
rnacentral:rRNA from 1 species